AUGAUUCAUCCUCCAAACCUUAUUACUCCUGCAUACGGUUUGUGGUAAGUCUCUCUUCCCUAGGAUUUUUGGUUUGGGCUUUCUAUCAACAGGGAAUAGUAGGCCGGGCGCGCAUGCCAUAAUCUUUCAAAGUAUAUUUAAAUCAAAUAAGAUGAUAUUUCUCAAUGUAAGCAUAAAAGCCUGCAUAUUUUGGGCCUAGGGCCUA
rnacentral:lncRNA from 1 species